UCAGUCGAGAUCACCCGCUGAAACUUAAGCAUAU
rnacentral:rRNA from 1 species